UACGAAGGGGGCUAGCGUUGCUCGGAAUCACUGGGCGUAAAGGGCGCGUAGGCGGGCUCUUAUAGUCAGGGGUGAAAGCCCAAGGCUCAACCUUGGAAUUGCCUUUGAUACUGAGGGCCUUGAGACCGGAAGAGGUCGGCGGAACUGCGAGUGUAGAGGUGAAAUUCGUAGAUAUUCGCAAGAACACCAGUGGCGAAGGCGACCGACUGGUCCGGUUCUGACGCUGAGGCGCGAAAGCGUGGGGAGCAAACAGG
rnacentral:rRNA from 1 species